UAUAAAUGUCAUAAUAAUGCAGGACAUACCGCAACUAUACAGAGAAGAUUAGCAUGGCCCCUGCACAAGAAUGACACGCAAAUUCGUGAAGCUUUCCAUAUUUUU